AUCUUUGACCUCAUACUGUGCUCUUGCUACAUUUCAGAAGCUAAAAAGGGUUAGACUAGGUCAGUACUUAAAUGAGAGACCUUCAAAGAACACCUAAAUGUGGAAGAAA
ensembl:rRNA 5S_rRNA 5S ribosomal RNA